UGCUUGCUUCGGCAGCACAUAUACUAAAUUGGAACGAUACAGAGAAGAUUAGCAUGGCUCCUGCGCAGGGAUGACACGCAAAUUCGCGAAGUGCUGCAUAUUUUU